rnacentral:rRNA from 1 species
AGUGAACGCUGGCGGUAGGCCUAACACAUGCAAGUCGAACGGCAGCACAGUAAUAGCUUGCUCUUACGGGUGGCGAGUGGCGGACGGGUGAGGAAUACAUCGGAAGCUACUUUUUCGUGGGGGAUAUCGUAGGGAAACUUACGCUAAUACCGCAUACGACCUACGGGUGAAAGCAGGGGAUCUUCGGACCUUGCGCGAUUGAAUGAGCCGAUGUCGGAUUAGCUAGUUGGCGGGGUAAAGGCCCACCAAGGCGACGAUCCGUAGCUGGUCUGAGAGGAUGAUCAGCCACACUGGAACUGAGACACGGUCCAGACUCCUACGGGAGGCAGCAGUGGGGAAUAUUGGACAAUGGGCGCAAGCCUGAUCCAGCCAUGCCGCGUGGGUGAAGAAGGCCUUCGGGUUGUAAAGCCCUUUUAUUGGGGAAGAAAAGCAGCAGGUUAAUACCCCGCUGUUCUGACGGUACCCAAAGAAUAAGCACCGGCUAACUUCGUG